rnacentral:rRNA from 1 species
GGCCUACCAUGGUGGUAACGGGUAACGGGGUGUUAGGGCACGACACCGGAGAGGGAGCCUGAGAAACGGCUACCACAUCCAAGGAUGGCAGCAGGCGCGCAAAUUACCCAAUCCCGACACGGGGAGGUAGUGACAAUAAAUAACAAUACGGGGUUCUUUCGGAUCUCGUAAUUGGAAUGAGUACAAUUUAAAUCUCUUAACGAGGAACAAUUGGAGGGCAAGUCUGGUGCCAGCAGCCGCGGUAAUUCCAGCUCCAAUAGCGUAUAUUAAAGUUGUUGCAGUUAAAAAGCUCGUAGUUGAAUUUCGGGGUCAGCAAGUUGGUCGUGCCACUGGUAUGCACUGGCUUUGCUGAUUCCUCCUUCUUGUAGAACCGUAAUGCCAUUAAUUUGGUGUUGCGGGGAAACAGGACUGUUACUUUGAAAAAAUUAGAGUGUUUAAAGCAGGCUAACGCUUGAAUACAUUAGCAUGGAAUAAUGAGAUAGGACGAGCGAUCCUAUUUUGUUGGUUUCUAGGAUUGACGUAAUGAUUAAUAGGGAUAGUUGGGGGCAUUAGUAUUCAAUUGUCAGAGGUGAAAUUCUUGGAUUUAUUGAAGACUAACUACUGCGAAAGCAUUUGCCAAGGAUGUUUUCAUUAAUCAAGAACGAAAGUUAGGGGAUCGAAGACGAUCAGAUACUGUCGUAGUCUUAACCAUAAACUAUGCCGACUAGGGAUCGGAUGAUGUUAAUUUUAUAAUGACUCAUUCGGCGCCUUACGGGAAACCAAAGUGUUUGGGUUC